GACGAACGCUGGCGGCGUGCUUAACACAUGCAAGUCGAACGGUGAAGCGCUUUCCUUUUUGGUUGGUGUGGAUGAGUGGCGAACGGGUGAGUAACACGUGAGUAACCUGCCCCCUUCUUCUGGAUAACCGCAUGAAAGUGUGGCUAAUACGGGAUAUUCUGCGCCUGCUGCAUGGUGGGUGUGGGAAAGAUUGUGCCUUUGGGUGUUUUCGGUGGGGGAUGGGCCCGCGGCCUAUCAGCUUGUUGGUGGGGUGAUGGCCUACCAAGGCGGUGACGGGUAGCCGGCCUGAGAGGGUGGACGGUCACACUGGGACUGAGACACGGCCCAGACUGCUACGGGAGGCAGCAGUGGGGAAUAUUGCACAAUGGGCGCAAGCCUGAUGCAGCGACGCCGCGUGAGGGAUGGAGGCCUUCGGGUUGUGAACCUCUUUCGCCAGUGAAGCAGGCCUGCUCCUUGUGGGUGGGUUGACGGUAGCUGGAUAAGAAGCGCCGGCUAACUACGUG
rnacentral:rRNA from 1 species